ACAGCUGACUGAGCGACACGUGUAGACUGUUCCAUUUACAAAUCUUGUGGAAUGCAAAUAUUCCAUUGUUUUUGAACAAUUGCUUUGUAAGCGACGAGGAAAAUCAGUCACAAAAUUACAGGUAUUGAUUGAUUCAUGAAUAUUGUGAGAACAAUAUUAUUGUUAUUUUCAUUGUACAGCAGUCAAUUUUGUUUCUGCUACAGAAAUUAAUUCUAAUUAGUUCACUCAAUGAAGUUGAUUAUGUUAUCAAAUUCAUUGGUAGGCUACGCUAUUUUUGAAAAUUGUAAGUAGGAAAUUAUUCACUCACUGAUUGGUAGUAACGAUCGUAUCGUUGGCAUUUUCAGAGUGACUACCAAAUGCUCUACUACUUUGAAAUUUUGAAAGUAGUGUAAUCAUUCUCUACAAUGGAAAAUGUAGACUAUGAAUGAAUCAACAGCACAAAUUCAACAUCUUAAAUUCUAUACUCACUACUCACUGCAUAAAUGCACUGUUUUGUCGGUUCACCUUGUAUUAUUGAAAGGUAAGCAGUGUAUUUCACUUGAAUUUAGGGCUACAGAAUUGUAGUAAAGCUGUUUAGUUUCUCGUGUUGAAAAACUAACACGUCAAAUUUUGAAUUUCGUUGAUCAUAAUUAUAUCAGUCAAGUUCAGUAAUAGCUAAUCACUUAUGGCCUCCAAGAAGAGAAGCUGAAAGAUUAUUCUAUUGCGUAUGAUGCCUACAUGAGCUUUUUGCUUGUGCGUGGGUAAUGGAAAGUGCGUUGCUGAAUUGAUGAGAUCAUCUCACUUCCAUGCCACCGGCGGGAUUCGAACCAACGAACCAGGCGGUGCUAGCAGACCGAAGAUUAGUAAUAGUAAUAGCAUUAGUAAUAGAAUAGACUGAAAUAUUUUCCGGUCAUAAUAGAAACCCAAAUAUAAUACUGUAAUAAUGAUCAGAAUGACGGUGUGAACAGAUAGCAGAAAUAGUUUUAUUUUAUAGAGUGUAUCACUCUUUAUUUUAUAGUGUGCUCUAUAUAGAUUGUAUCUUUCUCUAUUUAAUUCAGAGGAGAACCUUUUUUGACCUAGAUUCAUUUUCGAAAUGAAGACAAUAACAA